CAGGGGGACAACCCGCCGAAAGGCGGGCUAAACCCGCGUACAUGCCACCGGGGCAUCCCGGAGGCAGGAAAGGCUUCGGCCGGACAGGGAUGGGCAUGCGGCGCAUUAGGCAGUAGGCGGGGUAACGGCCCACCUAACCGACGAUGCGUAGGGGUUCUGAGAGGAAGGUCCCCCACACUGGUACUGAGACACGGACCAGACUCCUACGGGAGGCAGCAGUGAGGAAUAUUGGUCAAUGGUCGGGAGACUGAACCAGCCAAGCCGCGUGAGGGAGGAAGGUACAGAGUAUCGUAAACCUCUUUUGUCAGGGAACAAAGACUGGGACGCGUCCCCGGAUGAGUGUACCUGAAGAAAAAGCAUCGGCUAACUCCGUGCCAGCAGCCGCGGUAAUACGGAGGAUGCGAGCGUUAUCCGGAUUUAUUGGGUUUAAAGGGUGCGCAGGCGGUCUGUUAAGUCAGCGGUCAAAGCCCGGGGCUCAACCCCGGCCCGCCGUUGAAACUGGCAGUCUCGAGUUGGAGAGAAGUAUGCGGAAUGCGUGGUGUAGCGGUGAAAUGCAUAGAUAUCGCGCAGAACUCCGAUUGCGAAGGCAGCAUGCCGGCUCCACACUGACGCUGAGGCACGAAAGCGUGGGUAUCGAACAGGAUUAGAUACCCUGGUAGUCCACGCAGUAAACGAUGAAUACUGGCUGUCCGGGGGGACUGACCCCUGGGUGGCGAAG
rnacentral:rRNA from 1 species